rnacentral:rRNA from 1 species
AUUGAACGCUGGCGGCAGGCCUAACACAUGCAAGUCGAGCGAGCGGCGGACGGGUGAGUAAUGUAUGGGGACUGCCCGAUAGAGGGGGAUAACUACUGGAAACGGUGGCUAAUAACGCAUACUAUCGGAUAACCCAUAGGGGAUUAGCUAGUCGGUGGGGUAAAGGCUAACCUAGGCGACGAUCUCUAGCUGGUCUGAGAGGAUGAUCAGCCACACUGGGACUUAGACACGGCCCAGACUCCUACGGAGGCAGCAGUGGGGAAUAUUGCACAAUGGGCGCAAGCCUGAUGCAGCCAUGCCGCGUGUAUGAAGAAGGCCUUAGGAUUGUAAAGUACUGUCAGCAGAGAGGCGUUACCCACAGAAGAAGCACCGGCUAACUACGUGCCAGCAGCCGCGGUAAUAC